rnacentral:rRNA from 1 species
GGAGUUAGCCGGUGCUUCUUCUGCGAGUAACGUCACAGAUGUAAGGUAUUAACUUACACCCUUUCCUCCUCGCUGAAAGUGCUUUACAACCCGAAGGCCUUCUUCACACACGCGUCAUGGCUGCAUCAGGGUUUCCCCCAUUGUGCAAUAUUCCCCACUGCUGCCUCCCGUAGGAGUCUGGGCCGUGUCUCAGUCCCAGUGUGGCUGAUCAUCCUCUCAGACCAGCUAGGGAUCGUCGCCUAGGUGAGCCUUUACCUCACCUACUAGCUAAUCCCACCUGGGCUUAUCCAUCAGCGCAAGGCCCGAAGGUCCCCUGCUUUCCCCCGUAGGGCGUAUGCGGUAUUAGCAGUCGUUUCCAACUGUUAUCCCCCACAAAUGGGCAAAUUCCCCAGGCAUUACUCACCCGUCCGCCGCUCGUCAUCUUCAAAAGCAAGCUUUUGAAAUGUUACCGCUCGACUUGCAUGUGUUAGGCCUGCCGCCAGCGUUCAAUCUGAGCCAGGAUCAAACUCUGA